rnacentral:lncRNA from 1 species
UGCAAUGGUUUGAUUCAAUUGACGAAAAAGGCUAUGGAUGAAUGGAGUUGUUGGGGGUUUACAAUUUCAUCUUAUUGCUCCUUCUUAUCUACUCCUCUUGUUUAAUGUGCUUAAUUAUCUAAUUGUUUUGCAAACUUUCUUAGCCUACCCUUAGCCCGAUCCCGGCGAGAAGAGCCUAUUACUAAUUACCGGCUUGCUAUCCCUAGCCUCC